AUACGUAGGUGACAAGCGUUAUCCGGAAUGAUUGGGCGUAAAGGGCGUGUAGGCGGGUUUGCAAGUCGGGUGUGAAAGAUUCGGGCUUAACCCGGAGAGGUCAUCCGAAACUGCAGAUCUUGAGUGCUGGAGAGGAUAGUGGAAUUCCCGGUGUAGCGGUAAAAUGCGUAGAUAUUAGGAAGAACACCGGUGGCGAAGGCGGCUAUCUGGACAGUAACUGACGCUGAGGCGCGAAAGCGUGGGGAGCAAACAGGAUUAGAUACCCUGGUAGUCCACACUGUAAACGAUGAAUGCUAGGUGUAGGGGGUAUCGACCCCUUCUGUGCCGCAGUCAACACAAUAAGCAUUCCGCCUGGGGAGUACGGCCGCAAGGUUGAAACUCAAAUGAAUUGGCGG
rnacentral:rRNA from 1 species